GCCUGAGUGGCUUAGUCGGUUAAGCUUCCCACUUCGGCUCAGGUCAUGAUCUUGCGGCUCAUGGGUUCAAGCCCCACCUCGGGCU
rnacentral:tRNA from 1 species